rnacentral:rRNA from 2 species
CAAUCAAACCGGGAGAUAGCUGGUUCUCCCCGAAAGCUAUUUAGGUAGCGCCUCGUGAAUUCAUCUCCGGGGGUAGAGCACUGUUUCGGCUAGGGGGCCAUCCCGGCUUACCAACCCGAUGCAAACUGCGAAUACCGGAGAAUGUUAUCACGGGAGACACACGGCGGGUGCUAACGUCCGUCGUGAAGAGGGAAACAACCCAGACCGCCAGCUAAGGUCCCAAAGUCAUGGUUAAGUGGGAAACGAUGUGGGAAGGCCCAGACAGCCAGGAUGUUGGCUUAGAAGCAGCCAUCAUUUAAAGAAAGCGUAAUAGCUCACUGGUCGAGUCGGCCUGCGCGGAAGAUGUAACGGGGCUAAACCAUGCACCGAAGCUGCGGCAGCGAACGUAUCACCCAAGACAACUUUACGGAGUUGACGAUUGACGGAGCGAAGCGACGUCAAAGCGUUCAUUAAAGUCGAGUUGGCUUAGGGAUACGUUCGUUGGGUAGGGGAGCGUUCUGUAAGCCUGUGAAGGUGUGUCGUGAGGCAUGCUGGAGGUAUCAGAAGUGCGAAUGCUGACAUAAGUAACGAUAAAGCGGGUGAAAAGCCCGCUCGCCGGAAGACCAAGGGUUCCUGUCCAACGUUAAUCGGGGCAGGGUGAGUCGACCCCUAAGGCGAGGCCGAAAGGCGUAGUCGAUGGGAAACGGGUUAAUAUUCCCGUACUUGGUGUUACUGCGAAGGGGGGACGGAGAAGGCUAUGUUGGCCGGGCGACGGUUGUCCCGGUUUAAGCGUGUAGGUGUGUGUUCCAGGUAAAUCCGGUUCACUUUAACACUGAGGCGUGACGACGAGGCACUACGGUGCUGAAGCAACAAAU